rnacentral:lncRNA from 1 species
CGGCAAACUUCCUCGGGUGGUGGCACUUGGAAAAGUCUAUACAAACGCCACCACCUUACAUAACGUUCCUCUCUCCCCUGAUGUGGCGAAGGUAACAGUUGAAAAAGUACGAUUUCCUGAUGCUCGUGUUCCACUACCUUCAGAUGAGGUAACCACUGUGGCCGAUGCAUUUCAGACAUUCGUUGCCUGGCCCAGAGAGCUCAUUCGAUCUAUGCCCGAACCUCAUGUAAUAAUUUCGUUUCAUUAUAUUAUUUUUUAUUUAUAUUUAUAUAUUACAUAUAAUUUAAUACAAAUGUUGUUUAUCUUGUAGCAACCUUUUCAGCCACCAAGUCCGGAAAAGAAGCGUGAGGUUCCAGUUGACGAUCCUAUAGCUUCCCUACGUGUCAUUGCUAGUCAGAUUGGCAAUGAUCCUUUUCCAGUUCCGUGGGAUAAUACAUUUUUUCAAAUCAACACUGAACUGCCACUGAUGAUUUACAACACAGAUUUAUUAGAAUUUAUAUCUGGGAAACAGG